AUCAUAUGGACGUGACCCUGGAAAGUCAUCAGAAAAUGCACUCUUGGCAGCGAGCAGCAUCAGAGACCACACCGGAACAGAGCUGGAGAGCCCCUUCAAUCGCGACAAGUUAUCUCAAAGUGAUGCAUGUCUCUUUAACACAAAAUAGUUGAUCCGAAGAAAUUACAAUUUAAUUAUUUUAACAUUUUGUUAGUCAAAAAUUGUUCAAACAACAAAAAAAGUUUGUUUUUCACUUUUAGCAGCACAAUAGAACUUCACUUAAUGUGCCACUGUCUUCU